rnacentral:lncRNA from 1 species
CGCCAGCACAGCUGCAGUCUUGAUCCUUCAGCUUAAUGGACGGUUUAACGACACUGGAAUACAUAGCCGAUAUCUAAACAAAAACGACAGAAAGUCAGGUGAUGUCUUCCAGGUCAGAACUGUCACAAAACACACCCAAUAAAACUUGUUCGGAUGCUUAUUUUUUCAGCAAAGCAAUGCCUGCUGUUGUUUGAUCUCUUUUGUAGCCUAGCUUAAAGAUGUAUUUCAUUCUCAUGUCUUUAAAGAAGUGAUGAUUAUCUAUGUUCCUAAAAAGACUGUCAUGCUGACUAUACUGGCUAACUGAAUACAAUUCUUUCAUUUCUGUAUCCGAGUGAAUCCCUGGACUGUAUAUAUCUACGUGAACUGUAUUAUUCCUUUAAGGAGAAAUAUCAUGUCUGCCCUUUCAUUGCUUUUGUGUGCGGUCUUUAUCACCUCAGGGGUGGGGCUUUCCACUCAGGCAGGUGUCAGAAACAAAUCUGGAGAA